UACGGGGGGGGCAAGCGUUGUUCGGAAUUACUGGGCGUAAAGGGCUCGUAGGCGGCCAACUAAGUCGGAUGUGAAAUCCCCAGGCUCAACCUGGGAACUGCAUCCGAUACUGGAUGGCUUGAAUUCGGGAGAGGGAUGCAGAAUUCCAGGUGUAGCGGUGAAAUGCGUAGAUAUCUGGAGGAAUACCGGUGGCGAAGGCGGCAUCCUGGACCGACAUUGACGCUGAGGAGCGAAAGCGUGGGGAUCAAACAGG
rnacentral:rRNA from 1 species